ACCAUGCUUAACUUGAGUUGUCAUCAUUUAUCUUGAGAUCAUGUGAUAAAAGAUGACAACUCAAGUUAAGAAUGGUUUUGA